GGUUGAGGAGAGGGUGACAAAAGGGGGACUCUGUUUAGCUCGAGCUCUAGACACGGCUGGCAAUAGAGAGGCUGUAAGAACUUAACAGAGAAGUUUCUGUUAAGAUUCUCACCUCGGGAUAGGCAGAAGGGGCUAAGAGGUGAUAAGGACAUUUGUACUUCUGAGAAGGUGAGAAGAACUACCAAAAUGGCUUCAUCUUAAAUGCGCUGGCAGAAGAGAAGGGUGGUUAUUAGUAUUGUUCCGAACAAACCUGUUUGUUUCUCUUAGCUCUGCAAGAUUUAUGACUCUUGGCACAAAUGAGGAAGACUACAAAAGCUAAACUUUUCUUAGGGUGUGUUUGAGAAGGGCAGGAAAAGGCAAGGAGGCCUGUAGGAGGGAGACAAGAGCCAAGAAUGUAGGUGUCUGCAGAUUUGGGGCGGGGGUGGGGAGAGCCAUUCCCGCUGGAGGAAAGAGACAAAAAAGAAGACCAGGACGUUUCCCAAAGCAGGAGUGUUUGCAACUCUGCCUAACUGCUGAGUCGGGACUUAGGGGAUGAAAUAGAACGCAGAGAGUCUCUCUUUUCUACAAAGGCAGCUUGGAAAACUUGUUCUCUUUAACUUGGAGUAGACAGAGCCAGCCACUACCCUGUGACCUCCUGGUUAGAAUGCUUGGCUUUUGCCUUCUCCCAUCUGGACGCACCAGAGGAGAUGGGACUGGGAGAACAAAGGUGAGAGAUGGUUCCAGCUAUUGUCCCCCUCCGGGAGAGGGUGGCUGUGUCUGGCAAAGCUCCCCUCACACCCUAUUGCUCCCCACUCACAAGCUCUGCUUUGGGCUGAGAAAGGGUCCUAUUCUCCCAGGGUCUCCUCCAGCUCCUACCUCUUCCGGGCCUGCUAAGUCAGUUUUCAUGGGCUGGAGCAGCCAGUUUUGGGGGGCCUUGCUGAACGGGGUGGGUGGGACCCAUGGCCUCCCUGCCCUCCAGCAACAGGAACCACAUGCAGAACCUCCCACUGUGAUGCCCCAAGGACCCUACUACCACCUGCCUAGAGAGCUGGUGGCUGAAGGAAGGGGGGGGGAUGUGCAUGAGGAUGAAGGGUGGGGGCCAUUUUUCUGUUUAUCAGUAGUACCAAGAAAAGAAAAUGCUCAAGCCAGAGCCGAUGUUGUGGCUCAAGCCAGGACCCUCAAAGAGAGCCUAAUGGUCUGCCUGUGUACGUGGCUGCACAGAGCCUGUCCUGAGAUUUCUAGACCCUGGUCAGGGGCCUACAGUGUUGGUACCUAUGUAGCUUUGGGCCUAGUGGGUUGGGGACUCAGCCCAGGGAGGCUUCCAGAGGCUUAAGGGAACCAGCACCUUUGGGUCUUUUCUCUGACUCCCCCAAAUUAAAAGUCGAAAAUGGACCUCAGACCCUCCAGCUCUCCUAGCUGUUGCUACCACUGGCUAGAGAAGGUCAUUGCAAAAUUGAGAGAAGAGGAGAGCCUGGUGGCUACGGGGCUGCACAGCUUUGCUUCAAGGAAUAAAAGAGAGCCUAGAGGGCACCCAGCCCAAGGCGGGCCUGUGAGACUGGGGCUGCGAUGCUUUCCCCAGACAGCAGCGGACCCCUCCCCUCCCAGAGCCUCCUCAACUCAUUGUGGUCCCUUCUGGUGACACAAGGAGCUGGAGCACGGUGGGAUGGGGGGCGAGAAAGAGGACUGGGGCUGGAGAAAGCUAACCUGGAGAAAACUUUCAGAAGACACGCACCCCCCAAAUGCGCUUUGGGGAGACCAAGGAUCUGGCCCCCAGUUCAACCAACCCCCGGCUCACUGAGAAGCGGGGACCUGGGAGCGGGGGUGCGAAGCGAUUCGAGAUCUGUUUCUUUCUGGUCCUGUCUGGGCUCCGGGUCCCACACUCUUCCAGCUUCACUGCCCCAACUUUGUGGCCGCUGCGGACUCGUGUGAAGUUCACACACACACACACACACACACACACGCACCGGAAUGUCCAUCUCUUCUUGAAUAUUAAUAAAGAUUUCAAAGCUGGCGGUUGUAAAAUUAAAUUGCUAAUGAAGAUG